rnacentral:lncRNA from 1 species
GGAAUAUUUAUUUCUGCAAUGUUCUUGCUAAAGCCUUGUAGAUCCUUUCAUAAAUCCUUCAUACAUAAUGCAAUGCUCAUCACAUUAUGAAGUCCUAUCCCCAGAAGGUAUCUCUACCCAGAUUAUCCUAUUAACUAAAACAGUAUUUAAAAGUGAUGAGUAAAUAAUAUUUAUAUACUUACAGAGAUUAUUAUAAGCCUGUAAUAGGAACUAUUGUAAAACAAGUGUGGCAACUCUAACUUCAUUAGAAUAUCCUACCAGGCCACACCAGGACUCUUCACCGUGACCUCAUCCUCUCACACUCCCUUCGUCUGUCUUCCCCUCUUUCCCUCCCUCCCUCUCCUCUCUUCAGGCUUUCUCCUUCCUGUCCCUCUCCAUGCCUACCCUGGAAACCAAGCCUGCAGCAGUAGCCGGUGCCCCAGGAUGGACUGCACCUUGAGUAGCUCUGGUUCCAUUGCGGGUAUCUGAACUCUGGACUGAACCCUCAAAGACAUACACCCAGGCUACCUGCUGGCUCUUAUUAGCAGGUGCUUUCAUAAUUGAUCCAUGAUCUUACCUUCAAUGCCCAGCAAGAGAUGGGCCAAAGAGGAAGGAGCUCUCCACAGCCAAGAAGAGAUCAGACCUUCCAGAAUCAUCCAUCAUGCUCAGACCUCUAGAGUGGCUAAGAGCCCAGAAAACCCACCACAUACCAGAGACGCCCUCCCCAGCCACAUUCCUGACAGUAGGGAGAGUGAAGGAAGACUAUGCCAGUGGGAGCCAGACACAACUGAGCAGAUAAGAAUCACCCACGACAUGUGGGUGUGUCUGCAAAAAGUGCACAGGAACAUCUUGUUGGUGUUUGGAUUUCUUCUAAGCCACGAUGUCUGCUAGUUCAUACUGGUGCCACCAGGCUUGGGCAAAGGCUCACAGGAGAAGAAUGUGGGCUUCCAGGUAGGAAUUGGCAAUAAUGAACCAUCAAGUUCUUCACAGCUCCCAAGUGAUAUGGCAGUUGGAGGUUCUGGGAUUCUGUUGCCUGCAAAGAAGAGACAAGGAGUCGAUGAAGGGGGAGGUGCACACCUUGUCAGCUCAGAGGGAAGCUUGCCCUGUGCAGCCAAGUGGGGAUCAGAUUGAUAACUCACACCCUUCUCUUCAGGCUACUCCAAAUGCCAAGGGAGCUACAUAGGCCAGGCCUGAAGCAAGUGAACCUGUCUGUCCAGCCCCCACCGUCACCCCACGCCAACUCCACAUCUGCCAGCCAGUUGCAUCUGCUCCCGUGACAAACAAGAGAAGAUGGCAAAUGCCUCCUUACCUCUCCCCCGUUAGCAGGACAAAGCUUAUGGAGCAAGAAGGGACAGGGAGAAGGACAGAGUGGGUAGACCUGUCUCUCUUC